rnacentral:misc_RNA from 1 species
GAUGAAGAACGUAGCGAAAUGCGAUAAGUAAUGCGAAUUGCAGAAUUUCCGUGAGUCAUCGAAUCUUUGAACGCACAUUGCGCCCACUGGUAUUCCGGUGGGCAUGCCUGUUCGAGCGUCAUUAUCCUCCUUCAAACCCCGGGUUUGGUGUUGGACCCAAGUUGUGUGAACAACUGGUCUCAAAGACAAUGACGGCGUCCGUGGGACCCUCGGUGCAACGAGCUUUUAGGAGCACGCAUCGAGUUGCAAGGACCUUCCGGGCCGGUCUCCUUUACCAUUUUACAAGGUUGACCUCGGAUCAGGUAGGAAUACCCGCUGAACUUAAGCAUAUCAAUAAGCGGAGGA